rnacentral:rRNA from 1 species
CAGCUUGUUGGUGGGGUAAUGGCCUACCAAGGCGACGACGGGUAGCCGGCCUGAGAGGGUGACCGGCCACACUGGGACUGAGACACGGCCCAGACUCCUACGGGAGGCAGCAGUGGGGAAUAUUGCACAAUGGGCGCAAGCCUGAUGCAGCGACGCCGCGUGAGGGAUGACGGCCUUCGGGUUGUAAACCUCUUUCAGUAGGGAAGAAGCCGUAAGGUGACGGUACCUGCAGAAGAAGCGCCGGCUAACUACGUGCCAGCAGCCGCGGUAAUACGUAGGGCGCAAGCGUUAUCCGGAAUUAUUGGGCGUAAAGAGCUCGUAGGCGGUUUGUCGCGUCUGCUGUGAAAGACCGGGGCUCAACUCCGGUUCUGCAGUGGGUACGGGCAGACUAGAGUGCAGUAGGGGAGACUGGAAUUCCUGGUGUAGCGGUGAAAUGCGCAGAUAUCAGGAGGAACCCCGAUGGCGAAGGCAGGUCUCUGGGCUGUAACUGACGCUGAGGAGCGAAAGCAUGGGGAGCGAACAGGAUUAGAUACCCUGGUAGUCCAUGCCGU